CGUGCAGCCGGGUCUGCAAGUCAGAUGUGAAAUCCACGGGCUCAACUCGUGAACUGCAUUUGAAACUGUAGAUCUUGAGUGUCGGAGAGGUAAUCGGAAUUCCUUGUGUAGCGGUGAAAUGCGUAGAUAUAAGGAAGAACACCAGUGGCGAAGGCGGAUUACUGGACGAUAACUGACGGUGAGGCGCGAAAGCGUGGGGAGCAAACAGGAUUAGAUACCCCAGUA
rnacentral:rRNA from 1 species